ncrna:unclassified sequences GP20-b RNA
GGCUACCCGUCAGCCUAUGAGGAUGGGGCGGUAGGUCACGGCAACGACCUAAAAAGCCUA